CGAACGCUGGCGGCAGGCCUAACACAUGCAAGUCGAACGGACCCUUCGGGGUUAGUGGCGGACGGGUGAGUAACACGUGGGAACGUGCCCUUUGGUUCGGAACAACACAGGGAAACUUGUGCUAAUACCGUAUGUGCCCUUCGGGGGAAAGAUUUAUCGGCAAAGGAUCGGCCCGCGUUGGAUUAGGUAGUUGGUAGGGUAAUGGCCUACCAAGCCGACGAUCCAUAGCUGGUUUGAGAGGAUGAUCAGCCACACUGGGACUGAGACACGGCCCAGACUCCUACGGGAGGCAGCAGUGGGGAAUCUUAGACAAUGGGGGAAACCCUGAUCUAGCCAUGCCGCGUGAGCGAUGAAGGCCUUAGGGUUGUAAAGCUCUUUCAGUGGGAAGAUAAUGACGGUACCCACAGAAGAAGCCCCGGCUAACUCCGUGCCAGCAGCCGCGGUAAUCUGAUGGCGCGAGG
rnacentral:rRNA from 1 species